GAACCAGCAACCCGCCCUGCAGAGAGGAGUCACUGAGCAAACAAGUAAAGAACAAGGCAGCCAAAGGAGAGUUUGAAAGGUUUUCUUCAGAGCAACUGGCAAAAAUCAGCUUCUGAGCAUCUGGCCUUCAGGCACUGCCUCACUGGGUGUGAGCAUGGUCUUGUUUCACCCCUGCACUCCAUGCUGGGCAAAAAUGAUUCUGGUUUGAGGAUCUCUGCCCAAGAAAGCCAUCAACACCAUCCCUGGGCACGUGGCACCUUCACCUGCACCAGUACAUCCCUGCUCCAUACCCAGCUCACUCCCCAGAAGAAACCUCCACAUCCUGGGGACACUCUGGAGAUUGGUAGGGUCCUCACUGAUUCCUGGCCUGCGGAAAUGCCUCUCCUGCCCCAUGGAAACUUCAUGAACAGAGAGAGCAAACCGCCCUUGUGAAGGAUGUGAGGGGACUCGAAGCCAAAACAUACCCACAAUGAAACAGGGAGCAAGAGAACUUGUUGUGUCAGAGACUGGAAGGCUGCAAAAAAAUUGUGGCACUGUUGAAAUGCCAGUAAAGGGAAGGAA